GGUAACUCCGGGGCAGGAGCCGCGGGAAUACGGGAGGGGCAAGCGUUAACCGGAUUUAUUGGGGUUAAAGGGUCCGGAGGCGGACUUAUAAGGCAGUGGUGAAAGCCUGUCGCUUAACGAUAGAACUGCCAUUGAUACUGUAAGGCUUGAGUAUAUUUGAGGUAGCUGGAAUAAGUAGUGUAGCGGUGAAAUGCAUAGAUAUUACUUAGAACACCAAUUGCGAAGGCAGGUUACCAAGAUAUAACUGACGCUGAGGGACGAAAGCGUGGGGAGCGAACAGGAUUAGAUACCCUUGUAGUC
rnacentral:rRNA from 1 species